rnacentral:rRNA from 1 species
UACGUAGGGGGCGAGCGUUGUCCGGAAUUACUGGGCGUAAAGCGCACGUAGGCGGACCUACAAGUCGGGGGUGAAAUCCCGGGGCUCAACCCCGGAACUGCCUUCGAAACUGUGGGUCUGGAGGUCGAGAGAGGUGAGUGGAAUUCCGAGUGUAGAGGUGAAAUUCGUAGAUAUUCGGAGGAACACCAGUGGCGAAGGCGGCUCACUGGCUCGAUACUGACGCUGAGGUGCGAAAGCGUGGGGAGCAAACAGG